rnacentral:rRNA from 1 species
UACGGAGGGUGCAAGCGUUGUCCGGAUUUAUUGGGUUUAAAGGGUGCGUAGGCGGUCUUUUAAGUCAGUGGUGAAAGCCUCCAGCUUAACUGGAGAACUGCCAUUGAUACUGGAAGACUUGAGUACAGACGAGGUAGGCGGAAUUGACAGUGUAGCGGUGAAAUGCAUAGAUAUUGUCAAGAACACCGAUUGCGAAGGCAGCUGGCUACACAAAUAUUGACACUGAGGCACGAAAGCGUGGGGAUCAAACAGG